AUUGAACGCUGGCGGCAUGCCUUACACAUGCAAGUCGAACGGUAACAGGCCGCAAGGUGCUGACGAGUGGCGAACGGGUGAGUAAUGCAUCGGAACGUGCCCAGUCGUGGGGGAUAACGCAGCGAAAGCUGCGCUAAUACCGCAUACGAUCUAUGGAUGAAAGCGGGGGACCGUAAGGCCUCGCGCGAUUGGAGCGGCCGAUGUCAGAUUAGGUAGUGGGUGGGGUAAAGGCUCACCAAGCCAACGAUCUGUAGCUGGUCUGAGAGGACGACCAGCCACACUGGGACUGAGACACGGCCCAGACUCCUACGGGAGGCAGCAGUGGGGAAUUUUGGACAAUGGGCGCAAGCCUGAUCCAGCAAUGCCGCGUGCAGGAAGAAGGCCUUCGGGUUGUAAACUGCUUUUGUACGGAGCGAAAAGGCUCUCUCUAAUACAGGGGGCUCAUGACGGUACCGUAAGAAUAAGCACCGGCUAACUACGUGCCAGCCGCCGCAGUAAAAC
rnacentral:rRNA from 1 species